rnacentral:tRNA from 1 species
GCCGGUGUAGCUCAGUGGCAGAGCAGCUGAUUUGUAAUCAGCGGGUCGUGGGUUCGAAUCCCUCCGCCGGCUCCA